AGCGAACGCUGGCGGCAGGCCUAACACAUGCCAGUCGAACGAACCUUUCGGGGUUAGUGGCGGACGGGUGAGUAACACGUGGGAACGUGCCUUUAGGUUCAGAAUAACUCAGGGAAACUUGUGCUAAUACCGAAUGUGCCCUUCGGGGGAAAGAUUUAUCGCCUUUAGAGCGGCCCGCGUCUGAUUAGCUAGUUGGUUGAGGUAAUGGCUCACCAAGGCGACGAUCAGUAGCUGGUCUGAGAGGAUGAUCAGCCACAUUGGGACUGAGACACGGCCCAAACUCCUACGGGAGGCAGCAGUGGGGAAUCUUGCGCAAUGGGCGAAAGCCUGACGCAGCCAUGCCGCGUGAAUGAUGAAGGUCUUAGGAUUGUAAAAUUCUUUCACCGGGGACGAUAAUGACGGUACCCGGAGAAGAAGCCCCGGCUAACUUCGUG
rnacentral:rRNA from 1 species